rnacentral:rRNA from 1 species
UACAGAGGGGGCAAGCGUUGUUCGGAAUUACUGGGCGUAAAGGGCGCGUAGGCGGCCCGCUAAGUCGAACGUGAAAUCCCCGAGCUCAACUCGGAAGCUGCGUCCGAUACUGGCGGGCUUGAAUCCGGGAGAGGGAUGCGGAAUUCCAGGUGUAGCGGUGAAAUGACGUAGAUAUCUGGAGGAACACCGGUGGCGAAGGCGGCAUCCUGGACCGGCAUUGACGCUGAGGCGCGAAAGCUAGGGGAGCAAACGGGG